rnacentral:rRNA from 1 species
UACGGAGGAUGCAAGCGUUAUCCGGAUUUAUUGGGUUUAAAGGGUGCGCAGGUUGUUUGAUAAGUCAGUGGUGAAAGUCUGUCGCUUAACGGUAGGAUUGCCAUUGAUACUGUUGGACUUGAAUAUGGAUGAGGUAGGCGGAAUGUGUAGUGUGGCGGUGAAAUGCAUAGAUAUUACACAGAACACCGAUUGCGAAGGCAGCUUACUAAUCCAUCAUUGACGCUGAGGCACGAAAGCGUGGGGAUCAAACAGGA